CGUGAUAAAGAGGAAGGAAAAUGGCCUUUAGAACCACACAGAUGCUCUUGUUUGUUGGGAGGAGGCAUAUUCUAGUUACUUACAGAAAACGUAUUUAAUUAGGUUAGUGACUUAAGUCCUCUGAAUCAUUUCUGAACUGAGUAUAUUCAAAUACAACUCAUAGGGCUAUGAUAAGAAUUAAAUGAGAUCAUUUAAAGCACCUGUUACAUGGUAAAAUUUGUAACUGGUGUGUUAAACAGCAAGGACUCUGGAAUCAAAACAUAGCUUCUUUGUUAUGUUCAACUCUAACUUUAUUAUGUAGUUAUUGGGGGCAGUUACCCAGGCCACUGAAAAGUGUGGCAAAUUGCAUCAUCAUCAUCUUGUGAACAUUCUUGGGUAACAGAAAAAUCGAUCAUUUUGUAUAGCAAAAUGAUGAGUCAAAUGUCCAAUGAGUAGUAGACAUAAUAAUCUGAAAACAAAUCCUUUAGCCUUCAUUCAAAGGGAAGUCCUCCCCUCUAACUGACUCACUACAUUGGGGCAGCCCACAUAGAACAGUCUGCCUUUGGGAGACUGAGGUAUGAUGAGCUCUUGCUCUCUCAGCUGAAACUUCCAAGCUUACAUUCGGUUGCACUUGAGUUAUCACCAUUUUCCUGUUUUACUGCCACCAGAUGAAAAAUAAGGACACUAAGGAGGACAAAGGUUGAAUACCUUGGUCGGGAUCUCAGAGGGGAGAGAUGGCGGAGGCCAUUCAGGUCUAAACCCAAAACUGACUGACUCAGAUUUGAGGAGUCUCCCAUGAACCCUUUGCAUCUCCUUUUGUGCGAAGAAUGGUGCUCCAUCUCCAGUUGAGGUCCAGUGGUUCAGCUGAUCAACCAAGUUAAGUAGUGACAUCAAAGGAUAGCUUUGGGAUUUUUUUCAUGUUUUUCAUCACUUCUCUUAACCUGUUGCCCGGGAAAGCAUAUACUCUAAGGGAAAACAGUAUGCUUUCUCUGAAAGUGGAGCUUCUAAUCAAUUUUCCGCUCAGAUGGUAUGAGCUGGCUCCCAGAAAACAAAAACAAAAUAAAAGCAACACUGUUGUGUAGUGUUUGCUGAGCUUUCUCUUGUGAAUACUCCCAUUGUGGCUCAUUUCAAGGCUGGCUAUAUUUAACAACUGGAUAGCAAAAUUUCUGGCUAGCAAAAUCCCCAAAAUGAGCUGGCUCCCGUGCAUCUCUGACCCUUCUAAGCCCUGGCUAAGUAGUAAUUCUGGAGCUAAUAUCACCAAAGACACCAAAGAUGAAGGCAGGACAUUCUCUCUUCUAAGAUAUUUGGACAAUCAUGGGAUGUAGCCCCAGAACUGGUUUAUCCCAGGCCAACAGACUUUGUUUCUACUUAUUUUUACCCCAGCUUCAUUGAGGUAUAA